rnacentral:rRNA from 1 species
CGGCCCAGACUCCUACGGGAGGCAGCAGUGGGGAAUUUUGGACAAUGGGGGCAACCCUGAUCCAGCCAUGCCGCGUGCGGGAAGAAGGCCUUCGGGUUGUAAACCGCUUUUAGUCGGAAAGAAAAGGCACGCCCUAAUACGGCGUGUUCUUGACGGUACCGGCGGAAUAAGCACCGGCUAACUACGUGCCAGCAGCCGCGGUAAUACGUAGGGUGCGAGCGUUAAUCGGAAUUACUGGGCGUAAAGCGUGCGCAGGCGGUUCGUUGUGUCUGAUGUGAAAUCCCCGGGCUCAACCCGGGAACUGCAUUGGAAACUGGCGGACUUGAGUGUGGCAGAGGGGGGUGGAAUUCCGCGUGUAGCAGUGAAAUGCGUAGAUAUGCGGAGGAACACCGAUGGCGAAGGCAGCCCCCUGGGCCAACACUGACGCUCAGGCACGAAAGCGUGGGGAGCAAACAGGAUUAGAUACCCUGGUAGUCCACGCCCUAAACUAUGUCGACUGGGUGUCGGGAGAGAGAUCUCUUGGUACCGUAGCUAACGCGUGAAGUCGACCGCCUGGGGAG